rnacentral:lncRNA from 1 species
AUCCAGGAGGAUGCAGGUUCGAUCCCUACGUGGAGGGGACUUCAUUUUGGCUGAGGCUCCUGGGAAAGAUAUUUUCCAGCUCCCUCUGGACCCUGAUGAGUGGACCCUAAGAUAUGUACACAAGAGGUUUUGUCACCAGGACGAAAGCUGGUUUACGCAUGAAGCUGCCAUGGAGAAGUGGGGAAAGAAAGACAAAAAGAGUGAGCACAGGAUGCCAUCUCUGAGCUGCUGAUCACAAAGUUGGGCAGCAAUCACAACUGUCUAGUUGUAGAACAUUUUCAUGACCUCAGAAAGAGACCCUCUGCCCAUUUCCCUCCUCCCCUACCUAAUUCUUGGCAACUACUGGCUUCCUUUCUGUCCUUAAGAUUUGUCAGUGUUGAAUAUUUCAUAUAAAUGGAAUUAUAAAAUAUGUGGAAUUUUGCAUCUUUCUGCUUUUUUUUUUUUUCUUUUUUGGCUGCUCUGCGGCAUAUGGAGUUCCAGCGCCAGGGAUCAGAUCAGAUCUGAGCCACAGUUGUGACCCAAACUGCAGCUGUGGCAACGCUGGAUCCUUAACCCACUGUGCUUGGCUGGGUAUUGAACCUGUGUCCCAGCACUCCCAAGAUGCUGCCAGUUCCGUUGUACCACAGCGGGAAUUCCUGCAUGUCUUCUUUCACAUAUCUAUAUCUAUAUCUAUAUCUAUAUAUCUAUAUCUAUAUAUUUUGUCUUUUUUAGGGCCGCACCCACGGCAUAUGGAGGGUCCCAGGCUAGGGGUCUAAUCGGAGCUAUAGCUGCCAGCCUACACCACAGCCACAGCAACACAGAAUCCGAGCUGCAUCUUUGACUUUCACCACUGCUCACAGCAAUGCCGGAUCCUUAACCCACUGAGUGGGGCCAGGGAUCAAACCCGCAACUUCAUGGUUCCUAGUCAGAUUUGUUUCCGCUCCACCACAAUGGGAACUCCCACUUAUACUUUCAAAGUUCAUCCACAUCGUAGCAUAGAUAAGUACUUUUUUUUGCUGAAUAAUAUCCCAUUGUAUGGAUAGACCACCUUUUGUUUAUCCACUCCUUAGUUUUUAGACAUUUGGGUUUCACUUUUUUGUCUGCUGUGAAUAAUGCUACUAUGGACAUGCCUGUGCGAGUUUUUGGAUGGUUAUAUGGUCUCAUUUCUCUUGGCUAUACACCUAGGAGGGGCUUUGCUGGAUUACAUGGUCACUCUAUGUUUAACCAUUUGAGGAACUGCCAAACAAUCUUCCAAAGCAGCUGCACCAUUUUACACUCCAACCAGACGUACGAGGCUCCCAAUUUCUCCGCAUCCUCACCAGCACCUGUUAUCACCUGACUUUUGCUUAUUGCCAUCCUAGUGGGUGUGCAGCUGUAUCUUGUGGUUUUGAUCUGCAUUCCUUGAUGGCUAAUGACAUUGAGCAUCUUUUCAUGUGCUUAUUCAAUAUUUGCUCUAUUUUCUUUGGAGAAUGUUUACUCAAAUCCCGUGUCCGUUUUUUAAUUGGGUGUUUUGUUUUUAUUGUUGAGCUUUGUGUAUUCUGGGUAUUCACCCCUUAUCAGAUGUCUGAUUAGCAAUUAUUUGCUCCCACGUGGGUUAUCUCUACACUUUUGUGAUAGUGGCCUAUACAACACAAGUUGUUUUAUUUUGCUGAGGCUUAAUGUAUCUCUUUUUUCUUUUGCUGCUUGUGCCUUUGGUAUUAUAGCUAAGAAACGAUUGCUUCUCCUAAGAUCAGGAAGAGUUCCACCUGUUUUCUUCUAAGAGUUUUAUAGUUUUACAUUUGGGUCAUGGAUCCAUUUUGAGAUAAUUUUGGUAAAUCGUAGGAGAUAGGCAUCCAGUUUCAUUCUUUUUUUUUUUUUUUUUUAAGGCCCACACCCUCAGCGUAUGGAAGUUCCCAGGCUAGGGGUUGAAUCAGGGCUUCAGCUGCUGGUCCAUGCCACAGCCACAGCAACACCAGAUCCGAGCAGCAUCUGAGACCUAAGCCUUAGCUUGCCAGGUCCUUUAACCCACUGAUCGAGGCCAGGGAUCAAACUCUCACCCUCAUUUAAGUCAGGUUCUUCUCCCACUGAGCCACCGUGGGAACUCUGGCUCUAAUAACUUUUUUGUGGAUCCUGUUGGAUUUUUCUGUGUAUGAGAUCAUGUCAUCUGCAAAUAGAGAUACUUUACUUCUUCCUUCCCAAAUUCGUGUCUUUUUUUCCUCCCCCAAGUCGCUCUGGAUAGAACCUCCAGUACGGUGUGGAGUAGAAGGGGUGAGAGCUGGCAUCUUGGUUUUGUUCCAGAGCUUGAGAGGAAAAGCUCUCAGUCUUUCACCAUUGAGUGUGAUGUCAGCUGUGGGGUUUUGUGUGCUGUCCAUUAUCAGAUUGAGGAAGUGCCCUUCUAUUUCUUUGUUGAAGGGCGUUGGGUUUUGUGAAAAGUCUUUUCUGCUUCUGCUGAGAUGAGUACAUGGUUUCUGUCUUUUCCGGUUAGCACAUUUUUAUUUUUAUUUUUGUGUUUUGCCUUUUUCUAGGGCCGCUCCCACAGCAUAUGGAGGUUCCCAGGCUAGGGGCUGAAUCGGAGCUGCAGCUACCAGCCUACACCAGAGCCGCAGCAACGCCAGAUCCGAGCUACGUCUGCGACCUACACCCCAGCUCACGGCAAUGCCAGAUCCUUAACCCACUGAGCAAGGCCAGGGAUUGAACCCACAACCUCAUGGUUCCUAGUUGGAUUUGUUAACCACUAAGCCAAAACGGGAACUCCAUAACACAUUUUUAAAGCAGUUACCUCUGCAGAUAGAGGAUAGGAGCCAGGAAAAUGGGAGACAGGAGUGUAAGAGAAACUUUGUAUUGUACAUCCUUUUAUAUUUUUGGUCAGAUUCGUUUCUGCUGCACCACGACAGGAGCUCCAUAAAAUGAAAUUAUUUUAGAGGAGUUCCCAUCGAGGUGUAGCGGAAGCAAAUCUGACUGAUAUCCAUGAGGACGCAGGUUUGAUCCCUGGCCUUACUCAGUGGGUUAAGGAUCUGGCGUUGCCACAAACUGUGGUGUAGGUUGCAGAUGUGGCUCUGAUCCUGCGUUUUGACCCCUAACCUGGUCAAAUCAGCUGCUGGUCCAUGGUCCUAGCCUGGGUGGGAACUUCCAUAUGCUGGGGUGCAGCCUAAGAAAGACCAAAAAAAAAAAAAAAAAGAAAUCCGUCUUAGACAUUUUAAAGCAUACAGUUCGGUCGUGUUAGGUAUAGUCUCGUUGUGCAAUCUCCGGAAGUUUUUCAUCUUGCAAAACUGAAACUCUACACCUAUUACACAUCUUCGAGUUGCCCUCCUCCCAGCCCCUGGCAACCACCAUUCUGCUUCCUGUAUCUAUGAAUUUGACUACUCUAAACACCUCAAAUAAGUGAAGGCAUGCAGUAUUUGUUUUUUUGUGAUUUAUUUAUUUCACUGAGCAUAAUGUCUUCAGGGUUCAGCCAUGUGGUACAGUGCCUUAAAAAUUUCUUUCUUUUUUUUUUAACCUUUUUUU